GGGGUUGUGGCUCAGUGGUAGAGCACAUGCCUUGCAUGUGUGAGGCACUGGGUUCGAUCCUCAGCACCACA
rnacentral:tRNA from 1 species